rnacentral:rRNA from 1 species
AUGCAGCAAGUACCUUGGGAGUAUCAGCUGGCCGUGGCUGAUUACUGGAAGGGGAGGCCGGCGGCCAUGGAGCCAGCAGCUACUGCAUGGGUUCCCGGCCUCCCUUUGGAGCUGACAGUCGCUGCUCCUGCUGCUAGCCACGGUGAUCUGGCCGUCAGCUCCAGCGGACAGCAGCACCAGCACCAGCUGGUCAUGGUGGAGAGCACCACCGACCAUCACCAUCAGUACGAGUGGAGCGGUCCGGUGGAGGCGUUCGAGGAAGCAGCGCAGGCGUUCGAGGACAAGCUCGGCAGGACGGAGACGAAGAUCCACCUGUUCCCGGCGAGCAUGGUGGACCUCGCCGAGCGGUACGCCGCGUCCAGGACCGUCUCCAUCGGCCCCUACCACCACGGCCGGAGCCCCGCCGUCCUGCAGAUGGAGAGCACCAAGCACGUGGCCUCCUGGCACUUCGUCAGGGCCUCCGGCCGCCCCGUCGAGGAGCUGUACUCCGCGGUCUGCGCCGUCGCCGACGAGGCCCGCGGCUGCUACGACGAGGGCAGGGUGCGUGGUCUCGCUGACGACGACUUCAAGCCCAUGAUGUUCUUCGACGGCUGCUUCCUGCUGCAGUACCUGCUGUACGCGUGCACGUACGGCGACGACAACGACGACGACGAGGGGAUGGCAGUAGACCAGGCGCUGAGGAGCGCCUUCAGCUCCGACAACGACCGCAUCUUCUCCGACGUGGUGCUGCUCGAGAACCAGCUCCCGUGGGUGGUGGUCGAGACGCUCAUGAGCUUCUUGCCCGCGCCCGGUCUGGACCUGCCGAAGCUCGUCGGACGCGUGAAAGGCUCCCUGCAGGCCCGGCAGGCCCUCGACGAGAAACCGCCCGCGUGGGACAGCAGCUACACGCCGCCGCACCUCCUCGGCCUCCUGCGGUACUACAUCGUCGGAACCGGCACCAAGCUCUCGCCCGAGUCCUCCCGCGGCCUAUCCGAGAAGGCCGAGAAGGUGUCCAUCUCCGUGAGCGCCGUGGAGCUCGCGGAGAUGGGCAUCCAGCUGACGGCCACCAAGACGGGGGCGGAGCUGAAGGAGAUGGGCGUCAAGAAGGGGCUCCUCUCCGGCGAGCUCUUCCUGGCGCCGCUGUCCCUGGACGACGCGAACGCUUGGUUCCUCGUCAACAUGGCGGCGCUGGAGCUGUGCACGACGCCGGACUUCUCCGAGGCCGACGACGAGCGGUCCACCGUGUGCUCGUACCUCUGCCUGCUGGGCAUGGUGACGGACCGCGUGGAGGACGUGCAGCAGCUGCGCACGAAUCACAUCUUGCAGGGGGGAGCGGGGCUGACCAACGAGGACGCGCUCCGCCUCUUCAUCAGCCUCGAGAAGCACCUGCGCCCCGGGAGAUGCUACCUCCGCACCAUGCUGGAAAUCGAGAACUACAGGGUCCAUAGGCCGGCGAGGACUAUGGUGUACAGGUUUGGCUACAAGAACAUGAAGACUAUCAUCAGCGUGGUGACCAUCGUCGGCGCACUCGUCGGUUUGCUCGAGGCAGUCAAGCCGGAGGGUGUAGCCGGAGGGUGA